UGGGGAAUUUUGGACAAUGGGCGAAAGCCUGAUCCAGCAAUGCCGCGUGUGUGAAGAAGGCCUUCGGGUUGUAAAGCACUUUUGUCCGGAAAGAAAUCCUUGGCUCUAAUACAGUCGGGGGAUGACGGUACCGGAAGAAUAAGCACCGGCUAACUACGUGCCAGCAGCCGCGGUAAUACGUAGGGUGCAAGCGUUAAUCGGAAUUACUGGGCGUAAAGCGUGCGCAGGCGGUUUGCUAAGACCGAUGUGAAAUCCCCGGGCUCAACCUGGGAACUGCAUUGGUGACUGGCAGGCUAGAGUAUGGCAGAGGGGGGUAGAAUUCCACGUGUAGCAGUGAAAUGCGUAGAGAUGUGGAGGAAUACCGAUGGCGAAGGCAGCCCCCUGGGCCAAUACUGACGCUCAUGCACGAAAGCGUGGGGAGCAAACAGGAUUAGAUACCCUGGUAGUCCACGCCCUAAAACGAUGUCAACUAGUUGUUGGGGAUUCAUUUCCUUAGUAACGUAGCUAACGCGUGAAGUUGACCGCCUGGGGAGUACGGUCGCAAGAUUAAAACUCAAAGAAAUUGACGGGGUCAUAGCUG
rnacentral:rRNA from 1 species